rnacentral:lncRNA from 1 species
UGGUCCUUCUGUUCAGUGCGUGCUCCUCCUCCUGAACAAAGCAAGUCCUGACAGCCCGCACAGGAAGACUGGACCGUGUCUUUGUCAGGGCCGGAACACGGCUGACCGGAUCACGAGCAGCUUACUGCACUGGAUUUGUUGCAGCAGAGGGAAAAGAUCAUCCUUAGAGAACAGUUUCUGAUAGCUUCCUGCACACGCUUCUCCAGGGAGACUGCAGUCCGGUCAUUCUGCUAACGCAGCAGUUAAGGGUGAGCUUCAGAACAGCAGCACAUGGGGAUGGUGUGGUAAACAGUGAUGCAUUAGUGGGAUACUGUAACAGUACGGUUUGCACUGAAAGUGGGACUGGGGCUGAGGUGGUCUCAUUUUGGUAUAAAUAGCAGCAUGUUUCCUAGGCAGCAAUCUGUACUUCCUGACCUGCAUUACCAGGCCCCAGGCAGCACAAAUCAGUUUGUCCUCCAUCAGCCACCACUAUUUGCUCAGUUGAAUAUUCCCUAAAGCCUGUGGCAAUAGGAACUUUGGGUGUGAUCGUGAUUACAGCAAAAUUAGUCAC